UCCUGCCGGACCCGACUGCUAUCAGAGUGAGAUUAAGCCAUGCGAGUUAACGUAGCAAUACGUGGCGCACGGCUCAGUAACACGUAGUCAACAUGCCCAGAGGACGUGGAUAACCUCGGGAAACUGAGUCUAAACCGCGAUAAGUGAGGAUUUCUGGAAUGGUUCCUGACUAAAAUCUAUAUGGCCUCUGGAUUGGACUGCGGCCGAUCAGGCUGUUGGUGAGGUAAUGGCCCACCGAACCUGUAACCGAUGCGGGCUCUGAGAGGAGGAGCCCGGAGAUGGGCACUGAGACAAGGGCCCAGGCCCUAUGGGGCGCAGCAGGCGCGAAACCUCUGCAAUAGGCGAAAGCCUGACAGGGUUACUCUGAGUGACUUUCGCUAAGAAAGUCUUUUGGCACCUCUAAAAAGGGUGCAGAAUAAGGGGUGGUCAAGUCUGGUGUCAUCCGCCGCGGUAAUACCAGCACCCCGAGUGGUCGGGACGAUUAUUGGGCCUAAAGCAUCCGUAGCCGGUUCUGCAAGUCCCCCGUUAAAUCCAGCUGCUCAACAGAUGGGCCGCGGAGGAUACUACAGAGCUAGGAGGCAGGAGAGGCAAGCGGUACUCAGUGGGUAGGGGUAAAAUCCGUUGAUCCAUUGAAGACCACCAGUGGCGAAGGCGGCUUGCCAGAAUGCGCUCGACGGUGAGGGAUGAAAGCGGGGGGAGCAAACCGGAUUAGAUACCCGGGUAGUCCCAGCCGUAAACGAUGCAGACUCGGUGAUGGGUUGGCUUCGCGCUAACCCAGUGCCGCAGGGAAGCCGUUAAGUCUGCCGCCUGGGUAGUACGGUCGCAAGACUGAAACUUAAAGGAAUUGGCGGGUA
rnacentral:rRNA from 1 species